AUUUUCUCACUAUGCAUACUAUAUAAAUCCAAGGAACUAGCUGCCACAUAAAGCACUCAGCUGCCUGUUUUGGACAGCAGAGGGGAUCGAAUUGCUUUAAUUCUCUUCCCUCUUUGCCCUGAGGCAGGGAGGCUGAAGUUUGCAGUGGGUUGUCUCCGAGUUAAUCCUCUGCGUCUCCAUCAAUCGGUGUCACAGGAGUUAACAAGAAGCCAGAAGGAGACAGCAGGAGGCCACCUCAUUUCCCAGCAGUGAAGGACCAACAGUACAAUGGCAGGCACAUGCUGAAGAUGGAAGCAAAGAUUUUUCUUCAGACUUAUUUUGGGAGCGAGUUGUUACUUGGAAGCAGAGAGAGAAGCUCGUGUUAGAAUAGCUGCUCCAAGAACAGUAACUCUGCCUGGAUGAAUUUAUAAUAGCCAUUUUAACUGGUGCCAGGAAGACACUGAACUUCCAGUGAGUCAUUUUUCCACAGCCGUGAAUAGGUUAGGAUGAACUUCAGCUGUUUGCACGAUGGUGAAUUGCAAGGCCAGGAACAGUGUAUUCAUGGGCUUGUUGCUAGAAGUGGCAGGCAGACAACUUGGGCAACUCACUACCUCCGUGCGAGCAGACCAGUUAUCAUGGAAGGAGAGGGGUGUGUGUGGCAUUCAGAUGUACCGGGAGCUUUCAUCGGUGGAGCAGAAUGUUUGGCACCCGAGGUUAUCACCUGCUGAUGUCUUUCUGGGAUUUCCCAGGUCAAGGCCCAUGCAACAUUCAAAUCCCACUGAAGUGUAUCCUGAUCAAAGACCUGGGGACAGCAUUUCAGCUUGCUGUGGAAGACACACUGAGAAAAGCCAUGCACCAAGUCUCAUACUGAGAUGCCCACUGAUGAUGAUGCUGACACAGGAAUCUGCCCUUGAUCCUAGCAGGCUGCAGGAUACAAAUCCCCAGCUGUGUGUCUACGGUACUUAAUGUUCUUCCUUAACUGGGCUGGAGCUUAUCUCCUUCUGCAAGAGGAGCAGCAUCCAGAGUGCAGUGGUUUGCAUUUGUCUCAAGAAAAAUUACCAGUAUGGGAAGCAGUGAGCUGAGGGACUGGAAUCCUCCUGUGACCCUGCGGUUAUUGCUGACACAAAGCGAGGCCUGCUCCAGCCCGAUAUCUGCUCCCUUGCUCCCUGCUGUGUGCAGAGCAAUGGAGCCAUCAUCCCCUUGUUCUCUGCAGACAGCAGCUCUAAAUCACCGACAGCCACUUCUGUCCUGGAGGCCGGGAGAGGCUUUCCUGCACAGGUCACUCGCUUGUGACGAGGGUGUGCUCACCCCUGUGUGCUCAGGCUCAGUGAAAUAAAGAUCAAAAUGACGGGGGAUGUCUGCUUGAUGUUUGAGUGCUUGGCUCUGCAAGGGCUGUGAACACUGCCCAGGCGAUGGAGGGAAUGGAUGAGCACACAGACACUCUGCUGCAAAGGAAAAAUUGCUGUAAAAUCUCAGAGCUCACGGUCCGGCCAAGCGACGCUGCUCGCCAGGAGACCGCUGUGCCCCAAGCAGGCAGACAUUGAGAUUACACAAAGGGAAAUGGAAACUUUGGGGUUACAGGCCAGGUCUGCAUUGUGAGCACGAUAUCCUAUAUAAUGCAUUUAUUGAAGACUGUGAUCCUUCUUUGGGGUGCUCAAAAUCCUUGCGAGAAACAUAGAAGAAUGUUUUUCAGAAUUCUGAGAGAGGAAUCCUGCUCAGCCCUCCAGGUUCAACUACAGGGCAGGUUUUUAGAAGGUAAAUGAAAGUUCUUUGAAGGGUAAAUGAAGAUUUCAUAGAGCUCACGUAAAACCCACAACACAUUUGUCUUUGAGUUUAAAACUUAAAACUUAUCAAACGAAACCAGCCUUUUUCAAAGAAAAGCUGUAUUUUUUCUAAAGCUCAAGGACUAGUUACAAGAGGAAAUUUCUUCACUGUGCUUGUACUGGAGAGCAGAUUCUUGGAAAGGAAAAUCCACUCCAAAACCAUAGGAAUGGCCCCACAAGGCAAAGUUUCAAUCCAAACCCUUGCACGGUCCAAGAGAGGACGUGCAUUCCCUGGGAGGGAAGGACAGGGUGAACCCUUGCCCUACCAAGGUUGGACAGGACCAGGAGUGAGGAGGCAGAGAGGAAAAGCUGGAUUAUAGGCAAGGAAGGUCCCUGGGGGUGCUGGGUAAGCCACAGUGAGGGAGCACCUGUGGUCUACAGGUAUUUCAGGUAUUUCCAGGUGAGGCAGUGCCCUCCUGCUCUCCUGGCCUGUGUGUGCAGGGUGUGUGCAGCACAACCUGGGAUUCCUGGACCACUUAGUGCUGCAAGGACUGGGUGUAGCUGGGGCAGCACCCAGAGCGAUGAGCUUAGAACUGCUGGGUGUCCUCUGUGCAGCUGUAACCCAGGGAUCCAGGAAAUUUGGGCUUGGCACAUGCUGCUGCUAGCCUCCCCUGAACAGAAUGGAGCAGGAUGGGGGUCUUUCCGCAGGAGCAAGCAGGGCUGCAGGCAUCUCACUCACCCGGAGGGGCUGCUGCUGCUCACCCAGCACUCUGUGAGCAGAGACCCAUGGGUCUGUCCAUGGGGCUGUCCUAUCAGUCUGUCACAUAUGGAACAAUACACGGACUUCAAGCUAAAAGUUGGCACAGGCCAUAGACAAAUGUAGUUUUUUCCAGCCAUUAUCAUGUUUGUGCUUGGAUGCAAGCCAAAAUGCAUAAACCUUCCUGAGGACAUUCAUUGUCCUCUGAUUGCCUGUCCCUCAAUAUGGGGGGGGGGAGGAGGGUGUUGUUUGGCUUUUCAUAGGUUUGUUUAUUCCCCUAAUCUUACACAAAAAUUAUCUGGCAUGAAUUCUGCAAGUCAGAAUGGCAAAAGUAUAAUUAAUUCCCUGUGUGAAGUGAAAAUAGCCAAUUUUCCACAGCAUCAGCUUGAAUAUCAACAAGUCAUGGAAACAAUAAGCAAAAGAAGCAGAAAAAAGUUGCACACCACACCAGAUACAGGGAUUUUUUUUAUGGGGCAGCAGUGCUUUAUAUGCUACUGGAUAAAAAUGUCAAUACACACCUGAAGAGCUCUUCAUUCCUGGUAUGUAUUGAGCUGAAAAACUGGAACAGCCUUUAAAAACAACCUCCUUUUCUGAUCAAUACAAGAGAUUUUUUGAAAAUGUAUGGUCAUGUCAUUUGUUUUCCUAGACACUAUCAUUUUGCAGGCAGGCACCCCACAGAUAUCUCAACAUAGAGUGGGAAUGAGUUUUCUGUAACCAGGGAUAGGAAUUUAAAAGUAAAACACUUCUGAAGCCCCAGCCCACCCCUUUCACUGCCUAUGGCUUUCUCUCCCCAUAGCAGACUCUGUGCUUAUGUGCUGUUUUCCUUCCCACCUCAUGUUCACUCCCACCUUGCUAGUCAAGAGCUGUGCCCCAUGACCAUCACAAAGUUAUCUGCACAAUCUGAACUCAACUUAAACUCUGACAAUCCUAACAGAGGCCUUCACUCCUCUUUGAUGCCUCAAAACACAUAGUGGCCACCACAGUCUGUCUGGCCCGGAUACUUGCUGCGUAAUGGGAAUAUCCUGAAGCUGCUGAAACAGUCCCUAAGGGUUAAUCUUGACCCUCUGACCACUGGUUGCUCUGCAUGGCUGAUAACUCAAUUUGAAGAGGAUCCAAAGGAAAACCUGAGCUGCUGGCAUGCCGGGGAAGCCACGCUGCAUAGUUUCUCAUAAGGUGUUGAAAAACACCUCUCAAGUCUCCAUCCGUUGUUUUGCUACAGGUGAAUUGCAAAGCAAAGAAGAAAAGCAAGUUAUGCUCAGAUAGAGUCAAAUACAACUUGUUAGCUGGGCCCUGGUGAAUAUCUGGAACAGAUGUUACAGAUACAUGUAUCACCUCUUUGUAACCCUCUUGACACUUCCUGUUACAAUCUGGCACAGUGGGGAAAUCAAAUGUCACCACUGAUGUCACAAAAAUUAACAUGUGCAAACAGUAAACUGAAAUAAUGUUUUGUGAUUUUGUUGUUUGGUUUUUUUUUUCCCCACUGUACUUGGAACAAUGACUGUGUAUUGCAGGUGUAGAGUAUAUGUUGGCAAAUGUGAAUUCUUGGGUGCAACCACUCCGCUGUGUAUUACAGUGACAGUUUUGGUGUUCAAAAUGUCAUUUUCUGUGUCACUGCAGACCAAUAAUUUCAAAUGAAAAGAUCUAUAGAAGAGGCUGUGUACUCACUAACCAUUUUUCUUUCCUUUACCUGUAUAGAGCCUUAUUAGUGGGAAUAACAGCAGGAGAAAUCCAUCUUCUUCUUUCAUCCAUUUCUACUUUACACUUCACUCACCCCAGAACUUCCUCACAAUCACAGGGACUACUUCACAUCUCUCCUUGCCAAACAACUCUUAGCAAAAGGCCAUGAUAGCUCUUUGUGUAUGUAAAACGUAGCAGAAAU